rnacentral:rRNA from 1 species
UACAGAGGUCUCAAGCGUUGUUCGGAUUCAUUGGGCGUAAAGGGCGCGUAGGCGGCGGGGUAAGUCGGGUGUGAAAUCUCAGAGCUCAACUCUGAAACUGCACUCGAUACUGCUUUGCUAGAGGACUGGAGAGGAGAUUGGAAUUCAUGGUGUAGCAGUGAAAUGCGUAGAGAUCGUGAGGAAGACCAGUGGCGAAGGCGGAUCUCUGGACAGUUCCUGACGCUGAGGCGCGAAGGCCAGGGGAGCAAACGGG